AUGUAAUGCGUCUAUCUCAUAUAUUAGUUUCCCCUUUUACGUUGCAUUACUGAAAUAAAUGAACUUUUGCACGAUAUUCUAAUUUUUCGAGUAUCACCUGUAAUUGGUUUGUAAAUCCGAUGGACUCUUUCAAUUUGAUACUCUGUUGUCGAUACUUCAGGGAGGACAGCUUUGAAUAGACCAAAUAGGUAGUCUUCCAUUUUUUCGGGCGUAAUAUCUUCAGAUAUGCCACAAAACCUUAAGUUGAAUUUACUAGAUCUGUCCUCUAGUUCUGAAAUUUUUUGUUCAAGGCUAUUUGUUUUGCUUGUUAAAAAUUCCACUGUUUCUUUAAGAGUCAUGAUUUGCUUUUCUUCCAUCACACUUAUUUCUGCGAUUUUUUUUUGUAUCUUGUUUGAUAUCAUUAAAAUUUAUAAGCAUGUCUUGUCUUAGUGCUUGAAGCUGUGACUCCAGUAAUUGCUUUAUCUGUUCAUGUAGGUUAUUAUGUUAAUUUUUUGUAAAACCAUAGGUUCUGCACUUAUAUCUGUUGUGUUUGCUGAAUAGAUGGGGCUUUCUACUUCUGUAUAUGGUUCUUGUACAUCUUUUGAAGGAGUGGAAGCAAAAAAAGCCUGAGAGCUUUUUUCAGUUUUUUUGUUGAUUUUAUUUCUUUUCUUUUUUCUAUUGCAGUUUUUUUGUUGCCAUUUUAAGGAGCUUACUUAA